GGGGAGUAUUGGACAAUGGGGGAAACCCUGAUCCAGCCAUGCCGCGUGAGUGAUGAAGGCCUUCGGGUUGUAAAGCUCUUUUAGCGGGGAAGAUAAUGACGGUACCCGCAGAAUAAGCCCCGGCUAACUUCGUGCCAGCAGCCGCGGUAAGACGAAGGGGGCUAGCGUUGUUCGGAAUUACUGGGCGUAGAGGGCGCGCAGGCGGCUCUACAAGUCAGGCGUUAAAGACCCAGGCUCAACCUGGGGAAUGCUCUUGAUACUGUAGGGCUUGAGAUCGGAAGAGGAGAGUGGAAUUCCCAGUGUAGAGGUGAAAUUCGUAGAUAUUGGGAAGAACACCAGUGGCGAAGGCGGCUCUCUGGUCCGAUUCUGACGCUGAGGCGCGAAAGCGUGGGGAGCAAAC
rnacentral:rRNA from 1 species